UCCGCAGCGGUGGCUUCCUCUGGGUGGCAGCCUUGUCAGAGUGGUAUCGUGGGGAGCAGAGUCUGUGUCAUCCGGGUUGCCCUCCUUGUCAUCGUCGCUGUCAUCAUUGCCUCUUUGACAACGGCCUUGUCCG